CUGCAUGUUUUGGCUUUGGGCCUCUCAUGUCCUCUCCUCUUCUCUGUGGGAGUAGACUCUUAAAACAUGCUAGAUUAAAACUUUGAAAGGAGUUAUCAGGGCCACCAGUCUUCAAGUACAGGCUGAGUCGGUAGUAUAAAACUCCUACAUUA